rnacentral:rRNA from 1 species
UACGUAGGGGGCAAGCGUUGUCCGGAUUUAUUGGGCGUAAAGAGCGUGUAGGCGGUUUGGUAGGUCCGCUGUGAAAACUCGAGGCUCAACCUCGAGACGCCGGUGGAAACCAUCAGGCUAGAGUCCGGAGGAGGAGAGUGGAAUUCCUGGUGUAGCGGUGAAAUGCGCAGAUAUCAGGAAGAACACCCGUGGCUAAGGCGGCUCUCUAGUACGGUACUGACGCUGAGACGCGAAAGCGUGGGGAGCGAACAGG